UACGUAGGGUGCGAGCGUUAAUCGGAAUUACUGGGCGUAAAGCGUGCGCACGCGGCUUUGCAAGACAGAUGUGAAAUCCCCGGGCUCAACCUGGGAACUGCAUUUGUGACUGCAAGGCUAGAGUACGGCAGAGGGGGAUGGAAUUCCGCGUGUAGCAGUGAAAUGCGUAGAUAUGCGGAGGAACACCAAUGGCGAAGGCAAUCCCCUUGGCCUGUACUGACGCUCAUGCACGAAAGCGUGGGGAGCAAACAGG
rnacentral:rRNA from 1 species